rnacentral:tRNA from 2 species
GCGGGCGUGGCGGAAUUGGCAGACGCGCCAGAUUUAGGUUCUGGUGUCCACGACGUGAAGGUUCAAAUCCUUUCGCCCGCACCA